ensembl:lncRNA
GAAAUGAAUAUUGAAAAAUUGCUGUUGAUAGAGGCAUAAGAAUAGCUGAAAUUAUUUUAAAGAACUGCUGAAAAUACAGGAAGUGGGGAAGCUGAAUUUCAAUAGAUUUUCUAAAAACAGAAGUUGCAGGAGCUUAAAUUUGUUUAAAAUUGUUUGUAGUAAUAUUAGUAGUAGUAUUAGUUAUAAUUGUGGUAUUAGAAGUACUAGCAGUAAUAGUAGGUUUAGUAUCAAUAGCAGUAGAAACAGCUGUAAUACUAUUAGCCAUAGUCGUAUUUGUAAUAACAUUAGUAGUAGUUGUAGUAUUAAUAGCAGUAGAAAUACUAGUAGUAUGGUAGUAGAAGUAUCAGUUGUAGUACUAGAAGUACGAGUAAUAUUCGUAGUGGGAGACAGAAUGUUUGUUAUUCAAACUAAGAAGUUUUUAAUUAAUAGGCCUCAUCACAAACAUUACAGUAAAAAUUCCCUCCAUGUGGCUUUUAUUUUGAAAUUAUUGGAUUGGGUGGGUUGGGGGGGAGUAGAUAGAGGGAGGGAGGGUGAGAGGGUGAGGAAGGGAGGGGUGGUGAGGAAGAGAUAGAGGGAGAGAGAGAGAGGAGGAGAAUUAGACUGACUGACUGACUGAGAGUGAUUAACAGUAAGUAGAGGUCAGGGUGGGGGGGGGGGGGGGGGUGAUGUACGACGGACGAAAGAAAAGAUCUCUCCUUUUCUUUCAUAAUAGGCAGAACUACACCCGGGUGAAAAAAUGUCAUUGCAUGUGACAUAACCGACUUUAAAAAAGUCAAACUAAUUAACAUCCUAUCUUAUCAGAGUAGGUGCUUUAUUUUGUAUUUUUUUUUGCUUAAUCCAUUUCACACAAUUCCAAGCCAUUGAUGAUGUGGGAUUAAACAAAGUCCUGGGGUAAAUCAGCUGAUAUAGUUACAUGGUUCCACUUGUCUACUGUCUGUCGUGAGCGGAGGCGUAAAGCAGCAGAAGUGGCAUGUGUUAUUAUGUGAUGCAAUUUAAUGCCAGGUCGAGACCCUGCACUUGGAUUAGCGUCCUCUCAAAUAUAUUUAAUGAGUAAAUGUAAUCAGCCACAUCUGCUGGAUCAUUUAUGCACUUGUGACACAGUGGUAAACAAGGUGCCGAGCGGAUAAAAACAAAAGACCUUUUUUUUCCUUUACACAGAAUAGCGGCGUAAACAGAGCAGUUGGAGGACAUGUGGUUGAAUGUUUGAGCCUGGGAUUUAAUUGGGCUUUUUAACCACAAAUGAACGGAGUUAGUUGGUAACAUUUACAGACCCCCCAAAACAUUUAAGUGCUCCGGUAGAGAAGAGGUGCCUGCUCCCUGUUAAUUCUCCCCGCGGUAGUGUACAUUUUCCAGAUGCAAACAACAACAACAUUCUCUCAGUUUUGACCAAACUUGGCUGCAUAUUCCUUCAUAUAAUGAAUAUCUCUCCGGGCAUUUACCACACAUGUCUGCCACAGCGGGCUUUUAUUUCCCCUGUCUUAUCGCCUCUGACAAAUCCACAGAGGAAUGGCAGCAUUGUGGGCCCCGACCGACCCAAAAGUCACAUGAAAAGGAAGCAAAUUGAGCAGAGGCACGUGGAAAUCUCCAAGGGGACCCCAUUUGCAAUUCAAAGGCAAAUUAGCAAAUCAAACACUUUGUCAUUGCCAACGGAAAUUGAUGUGAGGAAACUUGAGUGACAAGUGUUUAAUAUUGAAAACUUGCCUUAAUCAACACAUCAUGAGCUAAAAAGGUAAUAGCCCUUGAGUGGAGGUAACGGUAAGACCUUGGAGGCUCUUUGAAUGCAACGUCAUCUGCAUAAAGACAUGUUUUAAGGUCACCACUGUCGUAUCCAGUCUGUGGCGUGACUAGUCAGGAUAAAUCAAUUACAAAGACAUCAUUGACACCUGCCCUUGUGCCAAGUCAACGCUUUCAUCCAUAUGUACUUGAGAUUUGCACAGUAAUCAAGCUACAGAGUCUCACAAAGUUGAAAGUAAUGUGAGUAAUUAGAUAAACCCGAGAGAAUCCCGGACAUGAGUAGAUGCUGCUCAGUGUCACGUGCAUCAGAGAGUUUGUUAUAAUCAUACAAAUACAAUAUCCAUCCAAAAAUGGAGGACAUCAUACAAAAAGGAGCCUAGUUUUAUUGGCUAGAGAUUAGUGGGAUCUUUCCCAUGGGAGCAUUUAGUUAAAGCUGUUUGUACCACAAAGGUCCAUCCAACUUUACUGGUUGAAAUACAUCAUAGUGUAGCAGCUAACAUUACCAUCUCUUGAACAUUGGCUAAAAAUCUGAAUGGUCUACUUGGAUGGGAUGGAUUACAUCCAUCCAUUUUGAUGUAUGUGAUAGGCAUGUCAUCAUACCUUCCAUGAACUAUCUGCCAUCAUUUCUGUGGGUCUCUGAUUGAUGAUUGCAGACACCCCCGAGCGUCACUCAAGUUCACCCUUGGAUUCCAAUCAGAAAAGACACAUGAAUGGGCUGUUGGGGAAAGGUAACAUUGAAAGAGACACAGGCAGUAGCUCCUCUGGGUAAAUGAGCUCGUGUCGAUGCAAGUGACCUGUAAUUAUAGAUAAAAGCCCUUUUGCAGCAGACCAUCAUCUGCAUCAUUGACUCUUCUGCCUCCCGCUUAGACUCCUAAAUCACUUAUCAAACGGAGGUGGUGAAAUCCCCAGGUCCUUCUCGUCAGGUUUGCAGAUUUUUCACACGCCUAUUUUGCAUCCGCUUAAAAUACUCUGCAUCUACAUGCAAUGAAUGCUCCUGCACCUUGAUUCUCUUUGG